AUGAACGCUGGCGGCGUGCCUAAUACAUGCAAGUCGAGCGAACGGACGAGAAGCUUGCUUCUCUGAUGUUAGCGGCGGACGGGUGAGUAACACGUGGAUAACCUACCUAUAAGACUGGGAUAACUUCGGGAAACCGGAGCUAAUACCGGAUGAUAUUUUGAACCGCAUGGUUCAAAAGUGAAAGACGGUCUUGCUGUCACUUAUAGAUGGAUCCGCGCUGCAUUAGCUAGUUGGUAAGGUAACGGCUUACCAAGGCAACGAUGCAUAGCCGACCUGAGAGGGUGAUCGGCCACACUGGAACUGAGACACGGUCCAGACUCCUACGGGAGGCAGCAGUAGGGAAUCUUCCGCAAUGGGCGAAAGCCUGACGGAGCAACGCCGCGUGAGUGAUGAAGGUCUUCGGAUCGUAAAGCUCUGUUAUUAGGGAAGAACAUAUGUGGAAGUAACUGUGCACAUCUUGACGGUACCUAAUCAGAAAGCCACGGCUAACUACGUG
rnacentral:rRNA from 1 species